GAUGAACGCUGGCGGCGUGCCUAAUACAUGCAAGUCGAGCGAACGGACGAGAAGCUUGCUUUUCUGAUGUUAGCGGCGGACGGGUGAGUAACACGUGGAUAACCUACCUAUAAGACUGGGAUAACUUCGGGAAACCGGAGCUAAUAUCGGAUAAUAUUUUGAACCGCAUGGUUCAAAAGUGAAAGACGGUCUUGCUGUCACUUAUAGAUGGAUCCGCGCUGCAGUAGCUAGUUGGUAAGGUAACGGCUUACCAAGGCAACGAUGCAUAGCCGACCUGAGAGGGUGAUCGGCCACACUAGAACUGAGACACGGUCCAGACUCCUACGGGAGGCAGCAGGAGGGAAUCUUCCGCAAUGGGCGAAAGCCUGACGGAGCAACGCCGCGUGAGUGAUGAAAAUCUUCGGAUCGUAAAACUCUGUUAUUAGGGAAGAACAUAUGUGUAAGUAACUGUGCAGAUCUUGACGGUACCUAAUCAGAAAGCCACGGCUAACUACGUG
rnacentral:rRNA from 1 species